AAAGAAUUAGUUAAAAAUAACAUUAGAUUGUCAGUCUAAAAUUACUAAUGUUUUAGUAUUCUUUA
rnacentral:tRNA from 1 species